GCGGAAGUAGUUCAGUGGUAGAACAUCACCUUGCCAAGGUGGGGGGGUCGCGGGUUCGAAUCCCGUCUUCCGCU
rfam:Gracilibacillus boraciitolerans JCM 21714 DNA, contig:contig_65.